CGCGAAGAACCUUACCAAGGCUUGACAUACACCGGAAAGCAUCAGAGAUGGUGCCCCCCUUGUGGUCGGUGUACAGGUGGUGCAUGGCUGUCGUCAGCUCGUGUCGUGAGAUGUUGGGUUAAGUCCCGCAACGAGCGCAACCCUUGUCCCGUGUUGCCAGCAGGCCCUUGUGGUGCUGGGGACUCACGGGAGACCGCCGGGGUCAACUCGGAGGAAGGUGGGGACGACGUCAAGUCAUCAUGCCCCUUAUGUCUUGGGCUGCACACGUGCUACAAUGGCCGGUACAAUGAGSUGCGAUACCGCGAGGUGGAGCG
rnacentral:rRNA from 1 species